UUCCGCUCAAGUUCCUCCGCCGCGACCUCAGGACAGGCCGAAGAGGCGCGCACUACUCACGUGUCUUCCAAGUGCUGCUCCAAGGUCGCCUCCAUCCCACCCACCGACCACUCCGGCUCAGAACCCAGCGGCACGGCACGUCCUUCUCCACCACAGGCCUCAGUCACUUGACGCGAGCGGGGCGUGGACCGUAACGGCGCCUCCAAAGGGACAAAAUUGAUCACGGUGCAACGUCCGCGUUCUUUACUGGAAAACAUCACUGCGCUUCCGUCGCACAGAGCCUGACGAAGGCUUGGGCUCCCCGCGCGGUGACCGUCGAGGUGACCUGCACCUGGCUCCAUGGCGGAACCGGCCGGCACGGAUUAUUCCCCUCUCGGGAGAGGUCUGCAGCCGGGCCUCAGUGCUUCAGUUCGUGGCCUGGCAUUUUGUGAAGAGUGUCUUCAUCUCUGCAUCCCUAGUGCAACAGAGCAUGACAAAAAUUCAACAAAUAUUUAUUGAAGAGUCUUGAUGUCUUUUGGGAAAGGAACUCUAUGGUUACCUUUACUCUAAGGUAAAGAAAUUUAGGUCCUGAACUUUAACCACCUUCUCCUCUUCUUUCUUCCCUCUUUCAUAAAUGAGCUCUUGGAAAAUUAAAAUGCCAGGAGGGUCCAGCAGAGAAUACCCAAGCCCACAUGUCCUGAUGGGAAGUGGGGGAUAAGUAGAGAGGGAAACACAGACCCUGUAGGCCAUCUCACUGCUGCUGGCCCAGGGGACCCUAACUCCUUUUGUUGACUCAUCAGAAGUAGAAUCCUCCUGAGGGUCUGUUUAAGAAGCACAGCUCUGGUAGAAAGGGUAGCUUUCCUAUGGGUACGGAGGGCUCUGCUACCCCAGGGCUAUCCACACUGGCCUGUGAAUCACUCUCAAAUGCUUAGGGUCACGGGCUUUCAGUGGAAUGAGCCCUCAUGUGCCACCAGGGGGCACCAAGGCCACAGAAAACCCUAUUCAGAAGGUUCUGGGGUGAGGGAAAGGAAUCCACGGGUUUGUGGAGCUGGCGGAGCAUGGGUGAGGACAGCAUUAUGCUAGGUUGGUGGCCUUGAAGUCAGAUGUAAAUUGGGAUCCUGGCUUGGCCACUGACUAUCCAUGGGAACUUUGAAUCUCAGGGGGCUCAUUUGUGAUGUGGGGGUACCAUUAUCUGCCUCAUCAGGUUGUGGGGAGGAUUAUAUGAGAUACCUUAUGUAAGAGGGGCUGGUGCAUUGUGGAAGUCAACAAGUAAGUUUUGUUAAAUUUGAGUAAGAAGACCUGUUUGUUUCCUCAAGUUGCUUAUAAUCUAGGUGAGGACACAUCUGAGAGAAUAACUAAUAGUUCAGUGAAGGUAAGAGCCAAAUGAUUGGCACAGACCUCAAGUGGUCUGGCAUUUACGGGAGAGGGGGAUUGUGAAACAGGAAUUGAAAGAAAUUUAAAAAUGCAUAAGCAAAAACUCAGUUUAUGUUUUAAAAAAACCAAUUCCCCCUGAGAAAGAGAAAGAGGUGGAGUCCUUUAAAAAUUAUCUGCUUGUUUUUCUGUCUGUGGCUAGUGAGCCUUAUCUCUCCCUUUCCCAGGCAUUGUGAAGACCCUGUUUCUCUAGCUGUGCAGCUGCAAGGUCACUAGGCAGAUAAACUCAAGCCAUAAAACAUGUUUUUCCUUGAAAAGUAAGAAAUAAUGUAAUGCAUGUGUCAAAUGAAUAACUAUUUCUCGCUUCUGUAAUAUGCUUCCCUUCGCACAGAUCUCCCCCUGCCCCAUGAAAUGCUUUAAAGGUAACUUAACUCUUUGUUCGGGGCUCAGUCCUUUGGAUGUUAAUCUGACUGGCUUGGUGCACCUAAAUAAUAAAUAACAUAUAUCCUCCUCAACCCCUCAGUCUCUCUGAUUCCUAAAUUAUCCCGCUGUAAUUGCAGGGCUAGAUUUGCCGACCUGCUUUAUAAAGCUAUGUUAAAUCAGUAUAUUUUAUUCUUUUUAUUAGACUUUUCUAUAGCAUAAAAAUGAUAAAAUACAGCAAGAAAAAAAGUCACCUGAAACUCUAGUCCUAACCCUAAUAUGAAUGUGAAGGAGCUGGGCUAGAAUGGAAUAGGGUAGAAUUUGCAUAAGGUGGAAAUGGGGACAGGCCUGUCACAAGGAUCACUAGAGUCUUGCUGGCAAAAGCAUCUUACUGCAUUCAUGCUGCAGCACAGGACCCAGAUGCAGAACAGGUUGGGGACACAGCCCUGCCUUCUAAUAGUGGACACCAUCUGAGAGCUGAGCCAUAGAUUCAAAGCCUAACUCCUAAUAGCGAUUGGUAGUAAUAUCAUCAGCAGUUCAUAUACAUGGAGUGACAACAGCGUGCCAGGCAAUUCAAAGGGUCUCUCGGUCCUCACAGCAUUUUUGAAGUAGCUAACAUCACUAUCCCCCUUUUACAG
rnacentral:lncRNA from 1 species